GCCGCAAUGGCGGAAUGGCAGACGCAAUGGACUCAAAAUCCAUCGCCCUCAAAAGCGUGCGGGUUCAAGUCCCGCUUGCGGCA
rnacentral:tRNA from 1 species